rnacentral:rRNA from 1 species
GACGAACGCUGGCGGCGUGCCUAAUACAUGCAAGUUGAGCGCUGAAGGUUGGUACUUGUACCAACUGGAUUAGCAGCGCACGGGUGAGUAACGCGUGGGGAAUCUGCCUUUGAGCGGGGGACAACAUUUGGAAACGACUGCUAAUACCGCAUAAAAACUUUAAACACAAGUUUUAAGUUUGAAAGAUGCAAUUGCAUCACUCAAAGAUGAUCCCGCGUUGUAUUAGCUAGUUGGUGAGGUAAAGGCUCACCAAGGCGAUGAUACAUAGCCGACCUGGAAGGGUGGUCGGCCACAUUGGGACUGAGAAACGGCCCAAACUCCUACGGGAGGCAGCAGUAGGGAAUCUUCGGAAAUGGACGAAAGUCUGACCGAGCAACGCCGCGGGAGGGAAGAAGGUUUUCGGAUCGGAAAAAUCUGUUGGUAGAGAAGAAAGUUGGGGAGAGUGGAAAGCUCAUGAAGUGACGGUAACUACCCAGAAAGGGACGGCUAACUACGUG